GAAUGCUGACAUAAGUAACGAUAAAGCGGGUGAAAAGCCCGCUCGCCGGAAGACCAAGGGUUCCUGUCCAACGUUAAUCGGGGCAGGGUGAGUCGACCCCUAAGGCGAGGCCGAAAGGCGUAGUCGAUGGGAAACAGGUUAAUAUUCCUGUACUUGGUGUUACUGCGAAGGGGGGACGGAGAAGGCUAUGUUAGCCGGGCGACGGUUGUCCCGGUUUAAGCAUGUAGGCUGGUUAUCCAGGCAAAUCCGGAUAAUCAAGGCUGAGGUGUGAUGACGAGGCACUACGGUGCUGAAGUAACAAAUGCCCUGCUUCCAGGAAAAGCCUCUAAGCAUCAGGUAACAUCAAAUCGUACCCCAAACCGACACAGGUGGUCAGGUAGAGAAUACCAAGGCGCUUGAGAGAACUCGGGUGAAGGAACUAGGCAAAAUGGUGCCGUAACUUCGGGAGAAGGCACGCUGGUGUGUAGGUGAAGUCCCUGCGGAUGGAGCUGAGACCAGUCGAAGAUACCAGCUGGCUGCAACUGUUUAUUAAAAACACAGCACUGUGCAAACACGAAAGUGGACGUAUACGGUGUGACGCCUGCCCGGUGCCGGAAGGUUAAUUGAUGGGGUUAUCCGUAAGGAGAAGCUCUUGAUCGAAGCCCCGGUAAACGGCGGCCGUAACUAUAACGGUCCUAAGGUAGCGAAAUUCCUUGUCGGGUAAGUUCCGACCUGCACGAAUGGCGUAAUGAUGGCCAGGCUGUCUCCACCCGAGACUCAGUGAAAUUGAACUCGCUGUGAAGAUGCAGUGUACCCGCGGCAAGACGGAAAGACCCCGUGAACCUUUACUAUAGCUUGACACUGAACAUUGAGCCUUGAUGUGUAGGAUAGGUGGGAGGCUUUGAAGCGUGGACGCCAGUCUGCGUGGAGCCAACCUUGAAAUACCACCCUUUAAUGUUUGAUGUUCUAACGUUGGCCCCUGACCGGGGUUGCGGACAGUGUCUGGUGGGUAGUUUGACUGGGGCGGUCUCCUCCCAAAGCGUAACGGAGGAGCACGAAGGUUAGCUAAUCCUGGUCGGACAUCAGGAGGUUAGUGCAAUGGCAUAAGCUAGCUUGACUGCGAGCGUGACGGCGCGAGCAGGUGCGAAAGCAGGUCAUAGUGAUCCGGUGGUUCUGAAUGGAAGGGCCAUCGCUCAACGGAUAAAAGGUACUCCGGGGAUAACAGGCUGAUACCGCCCAAGAGUUCAUAUCGACGGCGGUGUUUGGCACCUCGAUGUCGGCUCAUCACAUCCUGGGGCUGAAGUAGGUCCCAAGGGUAUGGCUGUUCGCCAUUUAAAGUGGUACGCGAGCUGGGUUUAGAACGUCGUGAGACAGUUCGGUCCCUAUCUGCCGUGGGCGCUGGAGAAUUGAGGGGGGCUGCUCCUAGUACGAGAGGACCGGAGUGGACGCAUCACUGGUGUUCGGGUUGUCAUGCCAAUGGCACUGCCCGGUAGCUAAAUGCGGAAGAGAUAAGUGCUGAAAGCAUCUAAGCACGAAACUUGCCCCGAGAUGAGUUCUCCCUGAGACUUUAAGUCUCCUGAAGGAACGUUAAAGACGAUGA
rnacentral:rRNA from 1 species